AUUGAACGCUGGCGGCAGGCCUAACACAUGCAAGUCGAGCGGUAGAGAGAAGCUUGCUUCUCUUGAGAGCGGCGGACGGGUGAGUAAUGCCUAGGAAUCUGCCUGGUAGUGGGGGAUAACGUUCGGAAACGGACGCUAAUACCGCAUACGUCCUACGAGAGAAAACAGGGGACCUUCGGGCCUUGCGCUAUCAGAUGAGCCUAGGUCGGAUUAGCUAGUUGGUGGGGUAAUGGCUCACCAAGGCGACGAUCCGUAACUGGUCUGAGAGGAUGAUCAGUCACACUGGAACUGAGACACGGUCCAGACUCCUACGGGAGGCAGCAGUGGGGAAUAUUGGACAAUGGGCGAAAGCCUGAUCCAGCCAUGCCGCGUGUGUGAAGAAGGUCUUCGGAUUGUAAAGCACUUUAAGUUGGGAGGAAGGGCAGUAAAUUAAUACUUUGCUGUUUUGACGUUACCGACAGAAUAAGCACCGGCUAACUCUGUGCCAGCCGCCGCAGUAA
rnacentral:rRNA from 1 species